rnacentral:rRNA from 1 species
AGAGCGAACGCUGGCGGCAGGCCUAACACAUGCAAGUCGAGCGCCGUAGCAAUACGGAGCGGCAGACGGGAGAGUAACACGUGGGAACGUGCCCUUCAGUUCGGAACAACCCAGGGAAACUUGGGCUAAUACCGGAUACGUCCGAAAGGAGAAAGAUUUAUCGCCGAAGGAUUGGCCCGCGUCCGAUUAGCUAGUUGGUGAGGUAACGGCUCACCAAGGCGACGAUCGGUAGCUGGUCUGAGAGGAUGAUCAGCCACACUGGGACUGAGACACGGCCCAGACUCCUACGGGAGGCAGCAGUGGGGAAUAUUGGACAAUGGGCGCAAGCCUGAUCCAGCCAUGCCGCGUGAGUGAUGAAGGCCCUAGGGUUGUAAAGCUCUUUCGUCAGGGACGAUAAUGACGGUACCUGAAGAAGAAGCCCGGCUAACUUCGCGCCAGCAGCCGC